GUGUUACAUAACAGGAAACGUUGUUGCAGGCAAGUUAAUUUAUAGGGAAAAAAAGUAAUGAUUGGAAGAGUUGAUCUUUAAAUGUGGUUCUUUUUCACCUUUAUAGUUUAACAGCUAAUUAUUUGCGGGCAGUUGGUGGAGCAAGUGUAGAGGACCUGACGAGAAGGAUUCUAGCCUACAUUUUCACGAACGAUUAAGCAAAUUUAACUUGAUCCCAAAAACUGAGGAUGAAUGGAAAACUGUAGCACACCAAUUUGAGACCAAGUGGAACUUCAAUAACGCUGUUGGAGCAAUGGACGAAAAACACAUAACAUCAAUUUGAGACCAAGUGGAACUUCAAUAACGCUGUUGGAGCAAUGGUCGGAAAACACAUAGCUAUACAAAAACCAACAGGAAGCGGAUCGCUGUACUUAAAUUAUAAAAAAAAUUUUAAGCAUAGUGUUAUUUGCUAUCGUUGAUGCAAACUAUCAGUUUAUGUACGUACAUGUAGGGGCCAAUGGGAGUGUUUGUGAUUCUACAGUUCUCUAAAACUCAAGUUUUUACCAGAGACUUAUAAAUGAUGAAUUGAGAUUACCAGCGCCAACAGCUUUACCAGGCACGAAUAAGUGCUUCCCAUAUGCUUUCCUUGGAUACAGUGGGUUUAGUCUUAGCCCUUACAUAAUGAAGCCUUACCCGUCAAAAAUAUAACUCAUGUGCAAAGAAUUUUCAACUACAGACUACCACGAGCAAGAAGGGCCAUGUAAAUCAAUGUGGAAAAUGUUGAAUGUUCUUGCAUGUUACGUCUUGCACAAUUGCUUGUCUCAGAGAAAUGCAAUUUAUAUAACACCUACAUCUGUUGACACUGAAGAUGUUAAUACAAUGCAGUUACGACCUGGGGAUUGGCGUGAGGUGCGGUCCUUAGCACAUAUGCAGCAAUCGAGUGUAAGAAUUGUUUCUAAUCAAGGGAAGAGUAUUCGAAAAUGUUUUCUUGACUACUACAACGACAAAGGAGCCCUUACGUUUCAAGAGGAUAUGUUAAGAGCACAAUAACGUUAUUUUGCUAAUUGUUUUUCUGUACCACAACAUCCAUUAGUGAUUCGUCUUUUUCCAGAGGAUCAUAUCCUUCUCUGAUCAUCUCCUUCUCACCUGCGGCUUUUACCUGCAAUGAAUGUUUUAUUUAAAUUAUUUUGUUAUUAUU